rnacentral:rRNA from 1 species
ACAGAGGGUGCGAGCGUUGUCCGGAAUCACUGGGCGUAAAGGGCGCGUAGGCGGCCCGAUAAGUAGGGGGUGAAAUCUUGCGGCUCAACUGCAAGGCUGCCUCCUAAACUGUCAGGCUUGAGCACAGUAGAGGCAGGUGGAAUUCCCGGUGUAGCGGUGGAAUGCGUAGAGAUCGGGAAGAACAUCGGUGGCGAAGGCGGCCUGCUGGGCUGUUGCUGACGCUGAGGCGCGACAGCGUGGGGAGCAAACAGGA